UACAGAGGUCUCAAGCGUUGUUCGGAUUCAUUGGGCGUAAAGGGUGCGUAGGCGGCGCGGUAAGUCGGGUGUGAAACCUCCAGGCUCAACCUGGAAACGCCACUCGAUACUGCUAUGGCUAGAGUCCGGUAGGGGACCACGGAAUUCCUGGUGUAGCGGUGAAAUGCGCAGAUAUCAGGAGGAACACCGGUGGCGAAGGCGGUGGUCUGGGCCGGCACUGACGCUGAGGAGCGAAAGCGUGGGUAGCAAACAGG
rnacentral:rRNA from 1 species